CCUACGGGAGGCAGCAGUGGGGAAUAUUGGACAAUGGGGGCAACCCUGAUCCAGCAAUGCCGCGUGUGUGAAGAAGGCCUGAGGGUUGUAAAGCACUUUCAUUGGGGAGGAGGAUUGAUUGGUUAAGAGCUGAUUGAUUGGACGUUACCCAGAUAAGAAGCACCGGCUUACUCCGUGCCAGCAGCCGCGGUAAU
rnacentral:rRNA from 1 species